UACGGAGGGUGCAAGCGUUAUCCGGAUUCACUGGGUUUAAAGGGUGCGUAGGGGGGCAGGUAAGUCAGUGGUGAAAUCUCCGGGCUCAACCCGGAAACUGCCAUUGAUACUAUCAGUCUUGAAUAUCGUGGAGGUAAGCGGAAUAUGUCAUGUAGCGGUGAAAUGCUUAGAUAUGACAUAGAACACCAAUUGCGAAGGCAGCUCGCUAAACUAAUAUUGACGCUGAGGCACGAAAGCGUGGGGAUCAAACAGG
rnacentral:rRNA from 1 species